rnacentral:rRNA from 1 species
AACGAACGCUGGCGGCAUGCCUAACACAUGCAAGUCGAACGAGACCUUCGGGUCUUGUGGCGCACGGGUGUGUAACGCGUGGGAACCUGCCCUUAGGUUCGGAAUACCUCCCCGACAGGGGUGCUAAUACCGGAUAAUGUCUUCGGACCAAAGAUUUAUUGCCUUUGGAUGGGCCGGAGUUGGAUUCGCUGGUUGGUAGGGUUAUAGCUUACUAAGGGGACGAUUCAUAGAUUGGUAGAGAGAAUGGUCAGCCACACUGAGACUAGGACGCGGCCGGGACUCUUACGGGAGGGAGCAGUGGGGAAUAUUGGACAGUGGGCGGAGUCCUGAAGCAGCAAUGCCGCGUGAGCGAUGAAGGCCGUGGGGAAGUAAAGCUCUUUUACCCGUGAUGAUAAUGACGGUACCGGGAGAAAAAGCACCGGCUAACUACGUG